AGCAGCCGCGGUAAUUCCAGCUCCAAUAGCGUAUAUUAAAGUUGUUGCAGUUAAAAAGCUCGUAGUUGAAUUUCGGGAUCAAGGAAUCGGUCAUGCCUCGGUAUGUACUGGUUUUAUUGGUUCUCACCUUCUAAAGAACCAUAAUGUCAUUCAUUUGAUGUUAUGGGGAAUUAGGACUGUUACCUUGAAAAAAUUAGAGUGUUUAAAGCAGGCUUUACGCUUGAAUACAUUAGCAUGGAAUAAUGAAAUAGGACAUCAGAUUCUAUUUUGUUGGUUUCUAGGAUCGAUGUAAUGAUUAAUAGGGAUAGUUGGGGGCAUUAGUAUUCAAUUGUCAGAGGUGAAAUUCUUGGAUUUAUUGAAGACUAACUACUGCGAAAGCAUUUGCCAAGGAUGUUUUCAUUAAUCAAGAACGAAAGUUAGGGGAUCGAAGACGAUCAGAUACCGUCGUAGUCUUAACCAUAAACUAUGCCGACUAGGGAUCGGAUGAUGUUAAUUUAUAAUGACUC
rnacentral:rRNA from 1 species